UCCUCUUGGCAAUGGGCUAAGAGAUAUCAUGUUGGUGGUGAUGUUCUUACACCAAUCAGGGGCAGAGCAGAUGGCAGUCCUUUGCUCAUCCCAGCUGGGUGCCUGGGUUGGUGGCCAAAGCUGUUUCAUUCCUAGAACUCAUCA